ACGAACCACACGAACGUUAUUCGGAAUUACUGGGCUUAAAGGGUGCGUAGGCGGCGCGGUAAGUAGGGUGUGAAAUCCCUCGGCUCAACCGAGGAACUGCGCUCUAAACUACCGUGCUUGAGGGAGAUAGAGGUGAGCGGAACUUAGGGUGGAGCGGUGAAAUGCGUUGAUAUCCUAAGGAACACCGGUGGCGAAAGCGGCUCACUGGAUCUUUUCUGACGCUGAGGCACGAAAGCUAGGGUAGCGAACGGGA
rnacentral:rRNA from 1 species